GACGAACGCUGGCGGCGUGCUUAACACAUGCAAGUCGAACGGUAAGGCCCUUCGGGGUACACGAGUGGCGAACGGGUGAGUAACACGUGGGUGAUCUGCCCUGCACUUCGGGAUAAGCCUGGGAAACUGGGUCUGAUACCGGAUAGGACCACUGCCUGCAUGGGUGGUGGUGGAAAGCUUUUGCGGUGUGGGAUGGGCCCGCGGCCUAUCAGCUUGUGGGUGGGGUGAUGGCCUACCAAGGCGACGACGGGUAGCCGGCCUGAGAGGGUGACCGGCCACACUGGGACUGAGAUACGGCCCAGACUCCUACGGGAGGCAGCAGUGGGGAAUAUUGCACAAUGGGCGCAAGCCUGAUGCAGCGACGCCGCGUGAGGGAUGACGGCCUUCGGGUUGUAAACCUCUUUCAGCACCGACGAAGCGUAAGUGACGGUAGGUGCAGAAGAAGGACCGGCCAACUACGUGCCAGCCGCCGCGGUAA
rnacentral:rRNA from 1 species